CCUCUAUUCAUCCCCUGCUCCACGCGACUUCGGGCUUCACACGACCUAGACCGGCGAUUUCUUCUUCCCUCGGUGUCGCCGGCGGGGAGCGGAUCUUGGAUCAUCGAAGGGAAGAAAGAUCUUAAUCGGUGGUUUUCGCCAGCUGUCGGGUGGGAAUCAAGGGCGUCGACGUUGGAUCUGGGCAUCAACAGCCGGUUGUGUAAGAUUCGGGUGGUUUUCUUUGGGAAGCAGAGAUCGGUGUCUUGUUUCUGGCCACCACAGCGUGACUAGAUCAACUUCUCCACCGGAUCUGUGAUCGUGCUCUAGCCGUGAUCUUGAGGUGUUGUGUUUAGGUUCUGGCCUCCACAACUCUGUCGGAUUAUCUUCUUCAUUUGAUCUGUGGACUCCUCCGGCGAUCAAAGAAGAGGCAGUAGGUAGAUGAUAUGGAGAUGCUUGGAGUAUGCUGCUGGCCGGUCCCCUUUCCCACGUCAUAUCCGAGGACCUUUGUCGGUUUUGUCUCUCUUUUCCUACAUUUCGUAUUUGUUGGAUUUGGAGUUGUGGGAGCGAACUAUGUUUUUGAUAUGUGUAUUGUGGACUUGUAUCUGUGAUAUGUUUCGUGGACUUUUGUAUUUGUGGGUUUCCUCUUCGCCUU